UACGUAGGGUCCGAGCGUUGUCCGGAUUUAUUGGGCGUAAAGAGCUCGUAGGCGGUUCCGUAAGUCAGAUGUGAAAACUCAGGGCUCAACCCGGAGACGCCAUCUGAUACUGCGGUGACUGGAGUCUGGUAGGGGAUCACGGAAUACCUGGUGUAGCGGUGAAAUGCGCAGAUAUCAGGUGGAACACCGAUGGCGAAGGCAGUGAUCUGGGCCGGUACUGACGCUGAGGAGCGAAAGCGUGGGGAGCGAACAGG
rnacentral:rRNA from 1 species